UACAGAGGUGGCAAGCGUUGUUCGGAAUUACUGGGCGUAAAGUGUGCGCAGGCGGCCGAGCAAGUCGAGUGUGAAAGCCCCGAGCUUAACUUGGGAACUGCGCUCGAAACUACUUGGCUAGAGUGUGGCAGAGGGAGGUGGAAUUCCACGUGUAGCGGUGAAAUGCGUAGAGAUGUGGAGGAACACCGAUGGCGAAGGCAGCCUCCUGGGCCAACACUGACGCUCAUGCACGAAAGCGUGGGGAGCAAACAGG
rnacentral:rRNA from 1 species